GUCAUACUAGUGGAUAUUUUCUUUGCUGGGACAAGGUUGCGCUGAACCCUCUCGACGUCAACUUUUAUCGGCUGGAUUCUAGCAUCUAACGUUACGAUUGCCUCUGUUGGGUUUGCUUGAUCAACCAUCGUUUCGGGGACUCUGAUGACAUUGAAGAGCCAGAAAAUGGUGACUUUGCAUCUCUGAGGUACCUUCCAACUCGCCU